rnacentral:rRNA from 1 species
GAUGAACGCUGGCGGCGUGCCUAAUACAUGCAAGUCGAGCGAACGGACGAGAAGCUUGCUUCUCUGAUGUUAGCGGCGGACGGGUGAGUAACACGUGGAUAACCUACCUAUAAGACUGGGAUAACUUCGGGAAACCGUAGCUAAUACCGGAUAAUAUUUUGAACCGCAUGGUUCAAAAGUGAAAGACGGUCUUGCUGUCACUUAUAGAUGGAUCCGCGCUGCAUUAGCUAGUUGGUAAGGUAACGGCUUACCAAGGCAACGAUGCAUAGCCGACCUGAGAGGGGGAACGGCCACACUGGAACUGAGACACGGUCCAGACUCCUACGGGAGGCAGCAGUAGGGAAUCUUCCGCAAUGGGCGAAAGCCUGACGGAGCAACGCCGCGUGAGUGAUGAAGGUCUUCGGAUCGUAAAACUCUGUUAUUAGGGAAGAACAUAUGUGUAAGUAACUGUGCACAUCUUGACGGUACCUAAUCAGAAAGCCACGGCUAACUACGUG